UCGGGGCCGGCGAACUCGCCAGCUGGCGCCGUGGCGUACGAGCCCUUGAUCAAGUUACCGAAAUACCCCUCGUCGACCGGAGGAUCGAGCCGGGUCCGGAUGUCCACGAUGAAGCAAAGGUGGGUGUCGCCGCCGGCCCGGUCCAGCGACUUGGACCGGACGAAGGCGGUCCACGCCAGGGCCGUGACCGCCACGAACGUCGAGGGGGGCUGCUGCGGCGCCAUGUGGCUUUGCGCGAUUCGCUGCUUCAGCCACUCGAUGCGCUCCGGGCUCACCACGAAGGUUCGCCGCGUUAGCUUCAGGCGGCCUUCAAAAGAGUACCCAACAAAGCGCAACUGUUUAUUAAUUUUUUUGCAGCGAAUGAAAUAGGGAAUGUUAGAAUCCCUUUAAUCACUGAUUACAAAUGUGAAACGAAAUGCCACAACGAUUGUUAAAGAAAAAUCGAAUAAAUCAUUUAAUCUCACAUUAAUUAUUUUAAAACAUAUGUUAAAUUAUUAAGACACAUCAAAUAUGUUCAUUUAAGCUAUCAAAAAAAUUAAUAAGUAUUCUCAAUUUAAGCUAUCAAAAAAAUUAAUAAGUAUUCUCUAGCCACUUAAAAUUACAAAAAUAUUAUUUUAAUAUAAUAUAUUUUUUAGUAACCACCUAAAUACAGAAAAGACUUUGACAGAGUCACGUGACUGAAUAGAAAAGGUACAAAACUUUGCAGGUUCUAUUGUCUUCUUUUCUUGCAAAGGAUAAGGAUUAGACAAGAGUAAAUGCGUCCUAAUUGUGAGUUCUUGUUUGAUACCAUAUUUAUUUGUUAUUUAAUUAGAUUAAAUUUUAUAUAUUAAAAAGUUAAUAAGCUGCACGGCGCCCGAUUCAAAAAGAUGUUUUGUCCAAACAUGGAGGAAUUCUACACUGUCACGCUUGCACCACGUCAUUAAUAACAAGUUAAUCAUAUUUAUUCUUUUCAAACAAAAAUAAAAUAAAAAUAUUUUUUUUAUAAUUACGAUAGGACAUUAUUGAUUUUCUACGCCACGUUAUCAAUAUACUCGUUGCAUUCUAAAAUUUUUCCCAAACAUAAGGAAAGGAGGCAAAAAAAAAAAGAAAAAGAGGAGUAAUUAUGAAUGACAAGAAGCAGUGCAAAUAACAAGAAAAGAUGGAAUGCGCACAAGCAAAUGCCUCUUAAUUCAAGAGAGUGAGUUAUGAUUUAGACCGUUUUCAGCAAUGGUUUAUAUAUAUAUAUAUAUAUAUAUAUAUAUAUAUAUAUAUAUAUAUAUAUAUUUGAAAAGUUUUUUUGUAUUUGAUAAUUAAUAAGUACUCGCGAUCUAUCUGAAACUAUAAUUUGUGUUUGUGUUUGUGCUUGCUUGCAUGAGAAUAGUUGAGUAAAUAUUGUUGCAAAUUAAUGGUAAUAUAUAUAUAUAUAUGUCUGGUGUCUUACCAAUAACCCGUGCAUUUGAAUAGUACAAAAUUAUUGAAAACUGCUGCAAAAUAAAAAAAUUAUGAAAAUAUGGCAUGAUUUAACUUAGACAAAAAUUAUAUAGACAUCAUUUCCAAAUUAGACUAGAUAAAUUGAAAAAAAAAAUCGAUGCGGAAGGGCACCAAGCCCUUUAUUUCUCUAAGUAUACUUUUUUGUUCUCUCUCUAAAAAAUCAGAAUGCAUAUUUUCUUUUUUUUUUUGUGUUUCUAUGCGUGCGAUGGCAUCCACCGAUCCGUAUCAUCUUCGAACCUAGUUUGGAAAUGGUAUUCAUUCAAUUUGUGUCCAUUUAACUGUAUACUACGAGUCUACAACAUGUCUGACUCUGACGUACAAAAACUAACUCUUUUAAGGUAAAUCCGCGUCGGCCCAAACGAAGCAGUAAGCAGGAAGAUAAAAUUGGAAGCGCAAAAAGCUGUCAAUAUCGAACGCGAACUGAGCAUGCGCGCAAACGUACCUUGGGAAGAUCCGGCGUGAACCGCCGCGCCAACGCCCGCGCGACCUCGUCGGCCCUCGGAUGCCCGAUCGCCGCCCGGUCGAACGUCGGCCUGCACGGACAGCACCGGCGCCGGCAUCUCAUCCGCGCCGAGCUCCGGCACCAGUCCCCGGAACGCCGCGACGUCGUGCUCCUCGUCGCCGGCGAGGCUGCGGAGGUCGCCGCCGUCGGCCUCGGCCUCGACGAAGGCGACGGCGGCGGCGGAGCAGUCGACGGCGACGUCGCCGGUGGCGGGGAGGUAGGCGAGCUUGCCGGCGAGGGGGAGGAAGCGGCGGAGGGUGGCGGAGAGGGAGGAUUUGAGGGAUUGGAGGAGGGCGGGGAAGGGGGGCAGGUCGGGGGAGGGCUCGUAGAUGAGGAUGCGCUGGAUCGGGGGGUAGGCGAGCCAGUGGGUGUCGAAGAGCGAGAGCUUGAUUAAGUUCCCGGGAGGGUUUGGGACGGGGGCGCCAUCCGGGAGUGGGACGUGGCUCACGUUAAGAAUCCGCACCUCCCACAUCAGAAACUGCAAAUUAUGAUGAUGGAAAAAUAACGGAGAUCAAGAAGAGGACGAAGCAGCAGCAGCAGCAGCAGCCGCAGCAGAGAGCCGGAUUAUGAACUGGUGGCUGAAUCGAACGCAGAAGAAGACUAUCAAUACACGCAACUAUAUAUAUAAAUUAUUAUAUACACAUUGCUUUCAAUUCUUUUAAAAAAUAAGACUAAAUUACAUAAAAUCUCCUAUCAAAACAUAAUUUUUUUUUUUUUGUCAUUAAAAAUCUACACUUUAUUUUCAUUAUAAAAUAAAAAAUAGUAAUAAAAAAUUAUGGUGUAAAUUAUGAUGAUAAAAUAAUCAUUUUAUCCCUCAUCAUUUUUUAUAACAAAAGAGAAGUCUAUGAACAUUUUUAGCAUAAAAAAUAUAUAAUAAUAUUUUAUAAGCGGAAUCUAACAAAUCACUAACGGUAGGAGAUGAAAUGAAUAUUUUUUAUUUUGUAAUGAAGGACAAAAUAUAGAUUUUUAAAUAACAAAACAAAUAAAAAAUUAAAUUUUAACAAAAAAAAAAAUCUGUAAUUUAGCCAAGGAAUAAUACCCCACACACACACACACCAAAAGGGUUAUACAAUGUACACUUUAUUGAUCUACUAUCCAUGUGAUUAAUAAAAGUCAUUGUACGUCAUACAUGCCAUUAGUAAGUGAACAAAUAGUUAUUUUUUUAAAAAAAAAUCAACUAUACAAACGGGGAAUAAAUAAAAUUACAAAUUUACCGAUCGUCCGUAGAGCAAGUGAUAAAGAGGUUGAUAGUUGGUACCCGAGAUCCAAGUUCGAUUCAUAGUUGAUUCAUAUUUUCAACUAAAUUUAUUUCUAAAUAAAAAAAAAUAAAGCUUCUAAAGAAAAAUAAAUUUAUUCCUCAUAAAUUUUAACCAUUAAAUAUAAAUUGGAGUUCUCUUUGUUACAGUUUAUUCUUUUUCUCCUUGGGAAUUGGGAUAGUGUAGCGGUGACGAUCGCCUUUUUUGGAAAACCUUCUUAAUUGCUUUGACGAGCUCACCAUUGUCGAUCCGGCCCAGCUUAGCUGCUCGUCUUCGCGCUUAGUAAAUAUUUUAUCUAAUAAUAAAUAUUUUAUUCUUACCUAAUCUAUAUAUUUUAUAUUAAAUUUAAAUUUUUUUUAUUUAAUAUAUAAUUUAGAUAUAAAGAUAUUAUUUUUCAAGAGUAUUUAAUGAGCGAGAGUACAACAUCCCCAUGUAUUCGCUGUCACGUGUGGAUGAGGCAAAUGGUUGGCUCUGUUUGAUUGGUUAACCGCGAGGGGGCGCUCUUCCAAUAUUAUGUACCCUAAGCCAUUUUUUAAGCUAAAAAAAUAAAUAAAAAAAUUAAUUGAACAUAAGAUAGUAGAAUUAAUAAUAUCAACAAUACCUACUUUGGCUUCUGUAUUUACUUUAUUUUAAAAAUAUUAAUUAUAUAAUAAUAAUUUUAUGAGGCGGCAUUUAUUUUAUUUUAAAAAUGUUAAUUAUAUAAUAAUUUAAUGUGGCGGCAAAGACAUUUUUUCUUAUUGUCAUAUUUGAUUAGUUAACGAUACAUUAUGAUUAAAUGACAGAUGUUGAGUUAUUAUAACAAUACAUUAUGAUUAAAUGACAAAUGUCGAGUUAACAAAACAUUAUGAUUUUUAAAGAUACGUAAUCCAAAUUUUCCACAGCAUUGGAGUGUUGGCGAAAGAGUGGGCUGACUUCAGUCGAGUUUGGUGACGUUUUACUUGUUGGGCUGUAUAGUGUUUUUGUCACCUGUGGUCGAUUGGUCGUCAGUCUUUCUUUUUUUCUUUUUUUCCUUUUGCUACUCUUUUUUUUUUUUUUCUGGUCUUCGCGUCUUUUUGAGGCCUUAGCUGCCUCGCCCUUUAUAGCUAAUUUUAUUUACUGAAUGAAUGAAGCGGAUGGCAUGCUACCUUCCUCUCUAAAAAAAAAAAAAAACAAAACAUUAUGAUUAAAUGACAGAAUUGUACGCAAUCAAUCACUAAUAAGAACAUAAUUAAACGCCUCAUCUGUAAUACAAUUUUAAUUAUGAUAUCGCAUAACAAAUAUGACCUCCUCAAUAGUUAAUUAAUCAGCAAGGGUCUGGUCGGCCUCGUUGAGAAAGUGAGCCUUAAACGCAUCGAUGUGGUUCGGGCUCAGCGACACCGACACUUGGACCCCACCGUCCCGGCCCCCGACCAGCACGAUCUCCCCGUCGUGGUUCAUGGACACCAGCCGAAGUCGGUCUCGUACACCCUGAACCGGGGCGACGCCGCCACGUUGGCGAGCCGGUCCAGCGGGAGCACCAUAAACCGGUCCAUCCAGUUAUGAGACAUCGGGUCAUCCAGCGCCUCGCGGAUCGCCGCUUGGAUCGCCGAGGAGGCGCGGGGGAGCGCGUCGGGGCCGGAGAACUCGCCAGCUGGCGCCGUCGCGAAGCAGCCCUUGAUCAAAUUACCGAAGUACCCCUCGUCGACCGGGGGGUCGAGCCGGGUCCGGACGUCCGCGAGGAAGCAGAGGUGGGCGUCGCCGCCGGCCCGGUCCAGCGACUUGGACCGGACGAAGGCGGUCCACGCCAGGGCCGACACCGCCACGAACGUCGAGGGGGGCUGCUGCGGCGCCACGUGGCCCUGCGUGAUUCG
rnacentral:lncRNA from 1 species